GCUGAGCUUGGCCGCUUUGCCUGGGCACCCCAUCCCCAGAAGGACCUCGUGCGGGGUGAUGCUGGAACCAGCUCUAGGAGCUGGGCACCACUGGGAGCCCAAACCCUACAGCCCGAGCCAGUCCUUGGCCAGCAGCAACGCGUCCUCGCUGUCCCCACGGUCCCCGUGCCAGGGGCUCACCAGGGCCGGGCAGCGGUGUCGGAAGAGAGCUGUCCCCGGGCAGGACUUCUGUCACAUCCACGCUGAUGGGUCCCCACGCCUGUGACCCCUGUCCCCUCCCCGAGGGGGGGUUUUAACCCACUUUUGGCUCUUCCUGAUGCAGGUGGAGAACACAAAGCUGUGCUCAGCACCCUGUGGGUGCCCUCGGGUGGGUAUGGGACUACCGGGCUCGCCCUGGCUCCCACUUGAGCCCAGCGGGGCGGAUACUCCUUGUCCCACCAGUUUUAUGCUAUUUGCACAUAUUUUAAUAAAUGCUAGCUUUAUUUAUA